CAACUCACAGUGCUCUUUAUUCUAGCCUUAAAUCUUUUGUUGGUGAUAAGAAGGUAGAUAAAAUAAAAUUAAAAAGGAAUUACAAUCCUAUGACCCCCACUGUGUUCCAUGCCACUCCAAAAUUAUAGUUGUUCUUCUCUUAGAUUAUUCUUGCUGCAAUAAUAGCAACAUGAAAUUCUUCCAUCCUCUAGCUACGAUAAAAUAUUUG